GACAGAGGAUGCAAGCGUUAUCCGGAAUGAUUGGGCGUAAAGCGUCUGUAGGUGGCUUUUUAAGUCCGCCGUCAAAUCCCAGGGCUCAACCCUGGACAGGCGGUGGAAACUACCAAGCUGGAGUACGGUAGGGGCAGAGGGAAUUUCCGGUGGAGCGGUGAAAUGCGUAGAUAUUGGAAAGAACACCGAUGGCGAAGGCACUUUACCGGGCUAUUACUAACACUGAGAGACGAAAGCUAGGGUAGCAAAUGGG
rnacentral:rRNA from 1 species